AGCGAACGCUGGCGGCAGGCUUAACACAUGCAAGUCGAGCGGGCGUAGCAAUACGUCAGCGGCAGACGGGUGAGUAACGCGUGGGAACAUACCUUUGGUUCGGAACAACACAGGGAAACGUUGUGCUAAUACCGGAUAAGCCCUUACGGGGAAAGGAUUAUCGCCGAAAGAUUGGCCCGCCGUCUGAUUAGCUAGUUGGUGAGGUAAUGGCUCACCAAGGCGACGAUCAGUAGCGGUCUGAGAGGAUGAUCAGCCACCAUUGGGAC
rnacentral:rRNA from 1 species